rnacentral:antisense_RNA from 1 species
CUUCACGGAGCCGAGCCACAGCGGCCGUCCGUGCGCGCGCUCCUGACCGUAGGCGGCGAGCAGCGCCUGUGCCUC